GAACCGAGCGAACGUUAUUCGGAAUCACUGGGCUUAAAGGGCGCGUAGGCGGGCGGCCAAGUCAGGGGUGAAAGCCCCCAGCUCAACUGGGGAAGUGCCCCUGAUACUGGCCAUCUCGAGGGAGGUAGGGGCGUGCGGAACUUCCGGUGGAGCGGUGAAAUGCGUAGAUAUCGGAAGGAACACCGGUGGCGAAAGCGGCGCGCUGGACCUCUUCUGACGCUGAGGCGCGAAAGCCAGGGGAGCAAACGGGAUUAGAUACCCCGGUAGUCCUGGCCCUAAACGUUGGGCACUAGGUUGUGGACUUACAUGGGUUCACAGCCGAAGCAAAAGUGUUAAGUGCCCCGCCUGGGGAGUAUGGUCGCAAGGCUGAA
rnacentral:rRNA from 1 species